rnacentral:lncRNA from 1 species
ACCGUUCUAUCUUGCUCAGCUCCUUCCUCUCUGCGAUUUGGUGUGAAGGAGCUUCAGCUCUGCUCUAGAGAGCUGCCGAAAAAACACUUUUUGCUCUCUCCUUUGAUUGACAAGACUGAAAACCCUUUGUUUCUCCGAUGUAUCCAGAGGUUUCUAUGUUUCAGGUUCCGCUUUUCCCAGCUUUCGUCAUCAUGAUCCGCGGUAAUUGUGCCUCAUUUUCAUUGUUCUUUUCUGGCCCUCCAGCUGCUUGCUUCCUCAUUCUGAGCUGCUGCCUCGUUUCUUUUUUUCUGCUUUUUCUUUCCUUUGUAACAAUUGCUAUCUUGCUGCCUCCUUGCGUAAGCUUUAAUUCCGCUACUAUUGUUUGGAUUUAACUUCUCCUGAUUGUGUUCCCGUUUCCUGUCGUGCUUAUUUUGGUUUUUCCUCACCUGCAAUUUAUGCCAUCCUGAGCUGUUACUGUUGCGUUGCCUCUUUGCUUUGCUUUGCCGCUCGUUUUGCUUCUCAAGCGCCCUGCUUAAAUUUACCUUUCUGCCACAGCCUUUUCCCCUGUGUUUUCCAUUUGUCCUCCUGUCAGUAGUUCUUGCAUCAGUUUUUUUUUUUUUUUUUACUUUUUGUUCUGCUACUGUUACUACGUGCACGUUAUCUUGCCCCCCAUUCUGUUUUGUGAUUUCCCCCUUUUCCCCUAGCAUUUCUUAUAUUUUUCCCCACUAUACUCUCUGGUGCUUGUUGUCCUGCAUUUACUCUUUGAGUUUUCCAUUUUUCCUCCUGUCGUCAUUUCUUGCGUCGCUGUAUUUUUUCCCCUUUUGUUUUGCUGUUGUUGCUACAUACAAGUUAUCUUGCCCCCCUUCUAUUUAGUGAUUUUCCCCUUUUCCCCUUGAAUUUCUUAUAUUUUUACCCACUUUGUUCUCUGAUGCUUGUUGUGCUGCAUUUACUUUUUGAUAUUAUAUUUUCUUACUCUUUUUGCUCUCACUGGCUUAUUCAGGUGUUGUCCUCUUCUGUGUUGCUCUGCUGUUGGGUAAUAAAGGCUUGUUAUCUAACGUUAAGGUGCCAUUACUUAUUCUCCCUUCUGUAUGUGCUUUUACCUUGCUCGUACCCAAUAAUCAUUUUGCUACAUGCUUUUGUUACCUCGCUUUUAGCUGUUGCCGCCUUUACUCAGCCUUUUAACUCCUGUUUUCUUAUCUGUUCUAUUCUAUGCUGCUGUGUAAGCUCUGUGCUUUACCUUUUCUUCACUCUGUUUCUUUUUUAAUAUAUUGGCUGAAUUCUAUGGUGUUGUGUAAGGGCUGUACUUUAGCUUUUCUUUACUCUGUUUUGUUUUGAAUGUCUGCUCAGUUCCAUGCUGCUGUGUAAAGGCUGCGCUUGAGCUUUUCUUUCUCUAAUUGUGUUUACUCAUUCUUUAAUAUUUUUACAUCUUCCAUUUACUUCUCCGCACGAUUAUCAUAUCUCCA